rnacentral:rRNA from 1 species
GUCUACCAUGCAGUCGACGAGAACGGCCUCAAGCUUGCUUGAGGUGUCAGCUAAGUGGCGCACGGGUGAGUAAUGUAUAGCUAACGUGCCCCAUAGCGGGGGAUAACGGUUGGAAACGACCGCUAAUACCCUAUACUCCUUUUUAACAAAAGUUAAAAAGGGAAAGCGUUAAGUAGCGCUAUGGGAUCGGGCUGUAUCGUAUCAGCUAGUUGGUGGGGUAAAGGCCUACCAAGGCGAUGACGCGUAGCUGGUCUGAGAGGAUGAUCAGCCACACUGGAACUGAGACACGGUCCAGACUCCUACGGGAGGCAGCAGUGAGGAAUAUUGCGCAAUGGGGGCAACCCUGACGCAGCAACGCCGCGUGGAGGAAGACGCUCUUCGGAGUGUAAACUCCUUUUCUGAGGGAAGAAGGAUGACGGUACCUCAGGAAUAAGCGCCGGCUAACUCCGUGCCAGCAGCCGCGGUAAUACGGGGGGCGCGAGCGUUACUCGGAAUCACUGGGCGUAAAGGGCGCGUAGGCGGUUAAAUAAGUCGGGUGUGAAAGCCCACAGCUCAACUGUGGAACUGCAUCCGAAACUGUUUAACUAGAGUCCGGGAGAGGUGGAUGGAAUUAGUGGUGUAGGGGUAAAAUCCGUAGAGAUCACUAGGAAUACCGAUUGCGAAGGCGAUCCACUGGAACGGUACUGACGCUGAGGCGCGAAAGCG